GUGAAGUCGCGGUAGGCUUGCUCCCGGAUCAGGCGGUCCCGGUCGUCGUCCAGCGCGAUCCCCUCGGCGGGCGGCGGGAUGGAGGAGUUGAGGACACUCGGCCAGGUCCAGCUGAGCCCCCGAGUGGGCUUUCGGCUGCCCGCCAAACAACACAGCUUUUCCCAGUGCGGCGUGGAAAGAAGACGGACAAAACGGCAUGUGAGGAACUUCCAACAGCUCCAGCGGGAGUGAAGGGCGUCGCCCUCCAGCAGGCGCAUCUCUUGUUUCCAAGAAAGUCGUGUCUAGUAUGUAAGGACCGCCAAAUGCUGUCGGAUUCGUUCUUGCUGUGUAUGCUCAAGUGUUGUUCGUCUUUUUGAUCUUGUU